GUCGCUUCUGUCAGCAGAGACAUAAAGUGAACCAAGAUCUACUGAGCUAUAGUUACGAAGAAUGAAACAUUUCAUCAGAAACCAAUUCCACUCCAUCUGGUUUUGACACCAGAAAGGGUUGAGAUCAUCCGGUGGAAGAUGCUAUGGAUGAGUGAAGUCUCUUUAUUGAAUUCCAUGGCCGUGGUACUGCCAGUUCACUCCUUCCCUCUUGUCUCACAAAACAG
rnacentral:lncRNA from 1 species